AUUGAACGCUGGCGGCAUGCUUUACACAUGCAAGUCGAACGGUAACAGGCCGCAAGGUGCUGACGAGUGGCGAACGGGUGAGUAAUGCAUCGGAACGUGCCCAGUCGUUGGGGAUAACUACUCGAAAGAGUAGCUAAUACCUCAUACGAUCUAUGGAUGAAAGCGGGGGACCGUAAGGCCUCGCGCGAUUGGAGCUGCCGAUGUCAGAUUAGGUAGUUGGUGGGGUAAAGGCUCACCAAGCCAACGAUCUGUAGCUGGCCUGAGAGGACAACCAGCCACACUGGGACUGGGCAACGGCCCGGACUCCUACGGGAGGCAGCAGUGGGGAAUUUUGGACAAUGGGCGCAAGCCUGAUGCAGCAAUGCCGCGUGGAGGAAGAAGGCCUUCGGGUUGUAAGCUGCUUUUGUACGGAACGAAGCGGCUCUGGUUAAUACCCGGGGCUAAUGACGGUACCGUAAGAAUAAGCACCGGCUAACUACGUG
rnacentral:rRNA from 1 species